UGAACUUACCUGUGCAGGUAAGCUUUAACAUGUCUCCUCUCUGCCGCUCAGAUCAAGACCGGCGCCCCCUGCAGGUCGGAGCGUUUGGCCAAAUACAACCAGCUGAUGAGGAUCGAGGAGGAACUCGGAGAGAAGGCCAAGUUCGCCGGGAAAGACUACCGCCACCCAAAGAUCAACUGAGGCUCCGCCCACCUUCCUUCCUGUCGCCUCGGCAACUACCUGACACCAAAUGACCCCCGAAGCCCCCCUCCCCCCCACAGCGGGGUGAGAGGUCAGAGGUCGCAGCGGUCCGACCCGCCGCCUGAUUCCAUAAAACAAGUUUUGUACACAAGCAGUGACGUGAAUAAAGAGUGAAACCUCCUGA